rnacentral:ribozyme from 1 species
UUCUUCUUUGCUCCCUUUCUCCUUUGCUCCCUUGAUCAA